rnacentral:rRNA from 1 species
UACGUAUGGAGCAAGCGUUAUCCGGAUUUACUGGGUGUAAAGGGAGUGUAGGCGGUCUAAAAAGUCUGAUGUGAAAACCCGGGGCUCAACCGCGGGAUUGCAUUGGAAACUUUUAGACUAGAGUAUCGGAGAGGCAAGCGGAAUUCCUGGUGUAGAGGUGAAAUUCGUAGAUAUCAGGAAGAACAUCGGUGGCGAAGGCGGCUUGCUGGACGACAACUGACGCUGAGGCUCGAAAGCGUGGGAAGCGAACAGG